ACUAACUGUAAGUCGCUCUGGAUAAGAGCAUCUGCUAAAUGACAAAAAUGUUAAUAUAAAUAUUAAUACAGGAACGAGGCUAAGAGUAGAACAGGUUAUUACAGGAACGAGGCUAAGAGUAGAACUGGUUAUUACAGGAACAAGGCUAGGAGUAGAACAGGUUAUUACAGGAACAAGGCUAGGAGUAGAACAUGUUAUUACAGGAACAAGGCUAGGAGUAGAACAGGUUACUACACGAACAAGGCUAGGAGUAGAACAGGUUAUUACAGGAACAAGGCUAGGAGUAGAACAGGUUAUUACAGGAACAAGGCUAGGAGUAGAACAGGUUAUUACAGGAACGAGGCUAGGAGUAGAACAGGUUAUUACAGGAACAAGGCUAGGAGUAGAACAGGUUAUUACAGGAACAAGGCUAGGAGUAGAACAGGUUACUAAAGGAACAAGGCUAGGAGUAGAACAGGUUACUACAGGAACAAGGCUAGGAGUAGAACAGGUUAUAACAGAAACAAGGCUAGGAGUAGAACAGGUUAUUACAGGAACGAGGCUAGGAGUAGAACAGGUUACUACAGGAACGAGGCUAGGAGUAGAACAGGUUAUUACAGGAACAAGGCUAGGAG